UAUUCCUACCUCUGUUCCUUCUAUUCUGACUACAGGUCCUUCAAUUUUCCCUGCUGGCCAUUGUUUGAGCUGCUUUUCCCUGCCCUGACUACACACUUCAUUAGCUCCUGCUAUCUGUGGCAAAGCUUAACCUCCUGGCUUCUCUCCUGCUUUCAGCCUCUCUCAUCCUCUUGUUGUUUCUGUGUCUGUUCCAGUUUUCUCUUAGCUGUCUCAUAUCUUUGUCUUUAUUGUUCUACACUCUACACCAUCUGUUGUGCUGCUGCCUGCAUGACUCAUCCUGAAAACAAUAAAAAUCCUACUGCAUUCCCAACCAUUACACCAGGGAGCCAAGGAAGGCAUGCCAAAAUCUACAUCAACAGCAGUCAAGCCAGGGUCCUCAUGGAAUUCAGCUCCAGUCCCCUGUUAGGCUGUCUGUUCCCCACUGGAUGGCAGUCCCUGCAAUGUUAUUCACUCUGGGAAGGAAAGUCCAGCUUUGAAGCAGCAAGCUGAAAUCUCAGACUGCUCUGUAGAUGAAUAUGUACGUGAAAUGCCACAGCUGAAACCUCUAAAUGGAACAUGGUUCAUUGAAAGUGAAAUUUCCUUGGUGCCAUCUUUGAGUCAUGGGUACCUCCUCUUCAACAUCAUCUGCAAAAUUCUGUGCAAGGCAACAACUUAUUUAAUGUUGCAUGAUAUAAGCAUAGAGGAGAGACUGCAACUGGGAUGUUGACACUGCUGUUGCAGAUUGUACAGGAAGUAAAUUAUGCAGACAUAGAUACUUAAUGCAGCAGUAAUAAUGUUAGUUAGAAAGCCUCACUUUGAAUUUGAAAAGAAAAUAGAAGACACCAGAGUAAGGAGAUUGGCCAAAAGACCCUAUCAACUGUUAGUCUGUGUAAGCCAGAGUCCUAUUAGUCUCCAGCUAUGCUUCUGAGUCAGCUUGCUGGAUUAGGAGUGCCAGAUCCUGCUUUGCCUCUUAGUGCAUGUCAAUAUUGGAACAAGCCAUAAAAAGGCAGGUUCUGUUUCACAAAUACCUCCGAGUCUUUCAAAACUUCUGAAACCUUCUGAAACUUGUAACCAGCUAUGGCUGUUGAAACCUCUGCUUGCAGAGUGGAAAGGUCAGUCUCUCUAUUUAAGUGUAUCUCUUUUAUGUACACUGGACUUGCAAAAUCUAGUCAAAAACGUUGAAACUGAUAAUUUGAACAAAUGUGUUUGGUUUGACAAAGCAGUUUCUGAAGUAAAAUCUAUUCUUUAAACAGUCUUGCUGUAGUUCCAACAUAAUAAUAAGGCAGCUAAGAGGCAUGGCUCUCUCAUUUAAAGAGUCCUGCACAGAACAGGAUUUUUGUAGUGACUCCUUCUCACCACAUCUCAGUCCAAUGUGUCUCUCUGUGGGCCUGGAACUGGUUGUGUGGUUUUGGAACUGUUUUGAUCAGAAAUUUUAUUGGCAGGUCAUUCCUGCAUGAGGGCUGUUGAUGUACCUCUGCCCUGUACCUUAUGGAACUAUUAUUAAACUCUUUUCAGACAAGACACGGGCUUUUACUCUCCUGGUAAUUACGUUCCUAGU
rnacentral:lncRNA from 1 species